rnacentral:rRNA from 1 species
AUGAACGCUGGCGGCGUGCCUCAUACCUGCAAGUCGAGCGAACGGACGAGAAGCUUGCUUCUCUGAUGUUAGCGGCGGCCGGGUGAGUAACACGUGGAUAACCUACCUAUAAGACUGGGAUAACUUCGGGAAACCGGAGCUAAUACCGGAUAAUAUUUUGAACCGCAUGGUUCAAAAGUGAAAGACGGUCUUGCUGUCACUUAUAGAUGGAUCCGCGCUGCAUUAGCUAGUUGGUAAGGUAACGGCUUACCAAGGCAACGAUGCAUAGCCGACCUGAGCGGGUGAUCGGCCACACUGGAGCUGAGACACGGUCCAGACUCCUACGGGAGGCAGCAGUAGGGAAUCUUCCGCAAUGGGCGAAAGCCUGACGGAGCAACGCCGCGUGAGUGAUGAAGGUCUUCGGAUCGUAAAACUCUGUUAUUAGGGAAGAACAUAUGUGUAAGUAACUGUGCACAUCUUGACGGUACCUAAUCAGAAAGCCACGGCUAACUACGUG